AGCAGCCGCGGUAAUUCCAGCUCCAAUAGCGUAUAUUAAAGUUGUUGCAGUUAAAAAGCUCGUAGUUGAAUUUCGGGAUCAAUACGUCGGUCGUGCUUAGGUACGUACUGGCGUAAUUGAUUUCUCCCUUCUGACGAACCAUGAUGUCAUUAACUUGGUGUCAUGGGAAAUCAGGACUGUUACUUUGAAAAAAUUAGAGUGUUUAAAGCAGGCUCACGCUUGAAUACAUUAGCAUGGAAUAAUGAAAUAGGACGUUCGAUCCUAUUUUGUUGGUUUUUAGGAUCAACGUAAUGAUUAAUAGGGAUAGUUGGGGGCAUUAGUAUUCAAUUGUCAGAGGUGAAAUUCUUGGAUUUAUUGAAGACUAACUACUGCGAAAGCAUUUGCCAAGGAUGUUUUCAUUAAUCAAGAACGAAAGUUAGGGGAUCGAAGACGAUCAGAUACCGUCGUAGUCUUAACCAUAAACUAUGCCGACUAGGGAUCGGAUGAUGU
rnacentral:rRNA from 1 species